GUGCUUGCUUUGGCAGCACAUAUAUUAAAAUUAGAACAGUCAAGAUUAGGAUAGUCCCUGCACAAGGAAAAUUCAUGAAGCAUUUUAUGUUAAA
rnacentral:snRNA from 1 species